rnacentral:lncRNA from 1 species
CUUUAUUAUUUGCAGACAUGACUUGGGAAUUAUUGAAAGCAAGAUUUCUGGGUGACAGGAGUGGGCGAGGAGAGGUAAACAGUGAAGAACAAUGCAGUCAGACACAGAAGGUCUUAGAUCAUUUAAGUAAUUGGGCAAAAAGGUGACAAAUCCAGUUCAGUGCAGAUAAAUGUAGAAUAAUGACUCUUGGAACAAAAUAAAUAAAGACAGAAAAUGUUGAGCAAGAGACUGCAUCACCUUACUGACUAGCCAAGAGAUUUGGAGAGCUAAUGGAGGGAAAUUUCCCUAAUGAUUUGGAUAUAACUUCUCCUGAAUGGGUGGAAUUCAAUGGAAUAAGAAAAAUGUCAAGAAUUUAAUUUUUCAUAGACAUAGAGCUCUCUUAGGUUAUCUUGUCCAUCCUCUUGCAUCAGCUGAGAGACAAUUCUUUCUGCAAAGAACCCUAUUAUGUUGAAUUAUGAGGACUGUCAAGGUGAUUUAUAGGAGAGAUUUAGUUAGUGUGAACAUUUUUGCUAGCCAACACAAAAUCCAGAAUGUUUUGAAUGAGAUUCUGACCUCCCUGACACAGAUGUAAAUAAAACCACCUGUAAAAUCUUCAGCAGAAUCUCUCAUGCUCUAUAGAAGUAAAUACACACUUAUUCUUGCAACUGGAGUUUUACUGCAGGCUUUGCAAUUCUGGGAUUUUAGCUACAGCUGAGACAAUGCAGAAUCCAGUGGAGAUGAGUUUUCUUCAAGGGAAAUUCAUCAGACCUGUGAAGCCCAAGCUGAUUUAAGGCUGUUGAUUGGAAUCCUCCUUCACCUCUUUCAUGGCUGCUGCUGUUAAUUCAGUUCAGAUGUUGAUCUGAAUAAAAGAUUAUCUCCUCGCUCAGCAGACUCACUGUCUUCAGAAGGUACUAUUGGAAAGUGAGAAGAGUUGGAGUUGACUCCUGCAGUCCAUUUCUACAGUGAUUUUCAAAGAGAUGGACAUGCAAAGUGGAAAAGAGAAGAUGUGGAAAUGUGGCAAUCCUUUGAUCCUUUCCAAGAUUUUCCAUUACAAAGCGCAGGGAGAAGUCCAGAAUCAGCUGUAAGAGACAAGUACAACCGGUGUUUGAUGGAAGUUGUCUGCUAUCAUCCCAGAUGGAUAAAAAUAGAAGUUGCUGAAAUGCUGGAGCUGAGUCAGAAGGCCAGAGGAUACCAUCCACAGGACUUAAUUCUCAAUCUUGAUAACAGGCUCAGAGCAGGACUCCAAGAAGAGCUGUUGUAG